GACGAACGCUGGCGGCGUGCCUAAUACAUGCAAGUUGAGCGCUGAAGGUUGGUACUUGUACCGACUGGAUGAGCAGCGAACGGGUGAGUAACGCGUGGGGAACCUGCCUUUGAGCGGGGGACAACAUUUGGAAACGAAUGCUAAUACCGCAUAACAACUUUAAACACAAGUUUUAAGUUUGAAAGAUGCAAUUGCAUCACUCAAAGAUGAUCCCGCGUUGUAUUAGCUAGUUGGUGAGGUAAAGGCUCACCAAGGCGAUGAUACAUAGCCGACCUGAGAGGGUGAUCGGCCACAUUGGGGCUGAGACACGGCCCAAACUCCUACGGGAGGCAGCAGUAGGGAAUCUUCGGCAAUGGACGAAAGUCUGACCGAGCAACGCCGCGUGAGUGAAGAAGGUUUUCGGAUCGUAAAACUCUGUUGGUAGAGAAGAACGUUGGUGAGAGUGGAAAGCUCAUCAAGUGACGGUAACUACCCAGAAAGGGACGGCUAACUACGUGCCAGCCGCCGCCGUAA
rnacentral:rRNA from 1 species